rnacentral:lncRNA from 1 species
AAGUUAAAUUAAAUAGAUGGUAAUACACAAAUUUAGGGGUUGAAUUAUUUUAUAUUUUUCGAGUAACAGCUAAUUACCAAACUUUUACUUUUAUAUGCUAAAAAAUGAAAUUAUGACAACUGUUGACCUCAUCAUCAUGCGUUGUACCAUGCACGACUUGGUCUCCUUUCAGUUUCUCAUUUAAACAUUAGCUUGAGUUUAUUUUAUUACUAGUUAUAUGACUUACAAAAUUC